UAGAGUUUGAUCCUGGCUCAGAACGAACGCUGGCGGCAGGCCUAACACAUGCAAGUCGAGCGCGCCUUCGGGUGAGCGGCGGACGGGUUAGUAACGCGUGGGAAUAUGCCCUUUGGUACGGAAUAGCCUCUGGAAACGGAGAGUAAUACCGUAUGAGCCCUUCGGGGGAAAGAUUUAUCGCCAAAGGAUUAGCCCGCGUUAGAUUAGGUAGUUGGUGGGGUAAUGGCCUACCAAGCCUACGAUCUAUAGCUGGUUUUAGAGGAUGAUCAGCAACACUGGGACUGAGACACGGCCCAGACUCCUACGGGAGGCAGCAUGUGGGGAAUCUUGGACAAUGGGGGCAACCCUGAUCCAGCCAUGCCGCGUGAGUGAUGAAGGCCUUAGGGUCGUAAAGCUCUUUUCGCCCUGUGAAGAUAAUGACCG
rnacentral:rRNA from 1 species